rnacentral:rRNA from 1 species
AGUAACACGUGGAUAACCUACCUAUAAGACUGGGAUAACUUCGGGAAACCGGAGCUAAUACCGGAUAAUAUUUUGAACCGCAUGGUUCAAAAGUGAAAGACGGUCUUGCUGUCACUUAUAGAUGGAUCCGCGCUGCAUUAGCUAGUUGGUAAGGUAACGGCUUACCAAGGCAACGAUGCAUAGCCGACCUGAGAGGGUGAUCGGCCACACUGGAACUGAGACACGGUCCAGACUCCUACGGGAGGCAGCAGGAGGC